rnacentral:lncRNA from 1 species
CCAGUUCUUCACCCCUAACCAAUAAAGGUAAUCUAACGAGAACACAUCUGCUUAUUGUUGUUUCUUCUUCAGUUUUUUCAGGUUAGUAUUUGUUGUUGUUCAUCCGUUUUGAUUUAGAUGGGUGGGUCAAAAUAGUUAGGGUUUAUUUGGGUAUUUCGUUCGGAGUAUUUUUAGGGUUUAAGACAUCUUUGGGGAAUCUCUUGUCAUUGUCUACUGAAACCUUUAUCUUUUGAGCUUGUGUUGUCUUUUUCUUUCUUUAUUUUGUUAUAUCUUUCUUUAUUGUCCAUUUUGAUUUCUUUAUUCUUUGUUUGCAUGUGAAAUUGAAACCUUUUGUCUGCUUCGUUCCAAGGACAAUGUCUUUUAAAAUUGUUACUUUAAAGUGAUAUCACGGGGGUGAGUUAAUUAUUGGUCCUUUUAGUAGAUAUGUGGGGGCAGUUAAACCUUGACAUUAAACGUAGACUGUUGUCUGCUUCUUUCCAGGGACAAUGUCUUUUAAAACUGUUACUUUAAAGUGGUAUCACGAGGGUGAGUUAAUUAUCGGUCCUUUUAGUAGAUAUGUGGGGGCAGUCUAACCUUGUCUUUAGAUGUGGAUGUAGAUAUGAUUUCCUUCUUUGAGCUUAUGAAUUACACCAGGG